CAAACGUGAUGGUUUAGAGGAAGUAAAAGUCGUAACAAGGUUUCCGUAGGUGAACCUGCGGAAGGAUCAUUACCGAGUGAGGGCGCUCCGGCGCCCGCUGACCUCACCAUCCAUUGCCAUCGUAACACGUACGAGCGGGCUCGCGACGGCCGUGAGGCCAGAGCGACCCGCCACACACCAGUCGCCGUGGGCUCGCGAGAGCGACCCACCCCCCGACGCAGUGAGCCCAUCGCCGGGCGUUUCGGCGGUGGGAGUGAGCUGUGUCGGGGCGAAGCGUCCGGAAACGCCCCGGCGUGACUGCGUGCACGCCCCCCUGGUGCGAUGGCGCCUGUGGGGGUUCCUACCAAUCCAGUCGUCAGCAACGUCUGAGUCCUCAAGGGCUAAAUUUUGAAAACAACUUUCAACAGUGGAUCUCUUGGCAUUGGCAUCGAUGAAGAACGCAGCAAACCGCGAUAUGUGGUGUCAUUUGCAACGCUUGUCAUCGAAUCUUUGAACGCACAUUGCGCCCUCCGGUACUCCGUUGGGCACGCCCGUCUCAGCGUCAUUACACCCCUCAAGCUCCCGCUUGGUCUUGGGCGUGGUCCUCCCCGGACCCGCCUCGAAUCCGCGGGCGGGUCGCAUCAACCCCCUGGCGUUGCAGAGCCUCUCGAGCCUCGCCGCGGCGGUAGUUGCGUCCCAGCCCCACAACCGCCCCUCGUGGGCAGCGCCUCGCGGCGUACCAAGUUUGACCUGAGAUCGGGCGGGUAUACGCGCCGAACUUAAGCAUAUUACUCAGCGCAGGAAAAGAAAGCAACAGCGAUUGGGUCAGUAGCGGCGAGCGAAGCCCCAAGAGUCCGGUUUUGAAAGCUCCUUCGGGCGCGUUGUA
rnacentral:rRNA from 1 species